GCCCCAUCUCACCUCCACGCACGGGGUCCUCUCCUCAGCCGGAGGGCACCCCAGUUUCACCCACACGCAAGGGGAACCCUAGAAAACUUCAGGGCUAAGCCCCAUCUCACCCGCACGCACGGGGUCCCCUCCUCAGCUGGAGGGCACCCCUCUCCCCACGUUCUUUCUCUUUUCUUCUACAGGAAGGUCUUCAUUAACAUCCGUCGUUGCUGUCAUCCUCCUAACGGCUUGUCCUGUGCCACAACGAACAAAGCAUCUCUGCCUCUGUUGGGCAAUUUCAAUCGCAGUAAUGCUCAUUCCAGUGAUGCAG
ensembl:lncRNA